rnacentral:rRNA from 1 species
CCGGCACGGGUGAGUAACACGUAUGCAAUCCACCUGUAACAGGGGAGUAACCGGAGAAUCCGGACUAAUACCCAUAAUAUGGGCGCUCCGCAUGGAGAGCCCAUUAAAGAGAGCAAUUUUGGUUACAGACGAGCAUGCGCUCCAUUAGCCAGUUGGCGGGGUAACGGCCCACCAAAGCGACGAUGGAUAGGGGUUCUGAGAGGAAGGUCCCCCACAUUGGAACUGAGACACGGUCCAA